AGCGAACGCUGGCGGCAGGCCUAACACAUGCAAGUCGAACGAACUCUUCGGAGUUAGUGGCGGACGGGUGAGUAACACGUGGGAACGUUCCUUUUGGUUCGGAAUAACUCAGGGAAACUUGUGCUAAUACCGAAUGUGCCCUUCGGGGGAAAGAUUUAUCGCCAUUAGAGCGGCCCGCGUCUGAUUAGCUAGUUGGUGAGGUAACGGCUCACCAAGGCGACGAUCAGUAGCUGGUCUGAGAGGAUGACCAGCCACACUGGGACUGAGACACGGCCCAGACUCCUACGGAAGGGAGCAGUGGGGAAUCUUGCGCAAUGGGCGAAAGCAUGACGCAGCCAUGCCGGGUGAAUGAUGAAGGUCUUAGGAUUGUAAAAUUCUUUCACCGGGGCCGAUAAUGACGGUACCCGGAUAAGAAGCCCCGGCUAACUUCGUG
rnacentral:rRNA from 1 species